rnacentral:rRNA from 1 species
AUUGAACGCUGGCGGCAGGCUUAACACAUGCAAGUCGAGCGGGGUGAUGUAGCUUGCUACAUUACCUAGCGGCGGACGGGUGAGUAAUGCUUAGGAAUCUGCCUAUUAGUGGGGGACAACAUUCCGAAAGGAAUGCUAAUACCGCAUACGCCCUACGGGGGAAAGCAGGGGAUCUUCGGACCUUGCGCUAAUAGAUGAGCCUAAGUCAGAUUAGCUAGUUGGUGGGGUAAAGGCCUACCAAGGCGACGAUCUGUAGCGGGUCUGAGAGGAUGAUCCGCAACACUGGGACUGAGACACGGCCCAGACUCCUACGGGAGGCAGCAGUGGGGAAUAUUGGACAAUGGGCGGAAGCCUGAUCCAGCCAUGCCGCGUGUGUGAAGAAGGCCUUUUGGUUGUAAAGCACUUUAAGCGAGGAGGAGGCUACUUGGAUUAAUACUCUAGGAUAGUGGACGUUACUCGCAGAAUAAGCACCGGCUAACUCUGUGCCAGCCGCCGCCGUAA